rnacentral:rRNA from 2 species
UGGGGAAUAUUGCACAAUGGGCGCAAGCCUGAUGCAGCCAUGCCGCGUGUAUGAAGAAGGCCUUCGGGUUGUAAAGUACUUUCAGCGGGGAGGAAGGGAGUAAAGUUAAUACCUUUGCUCAUUGACGUUACCCGCAGAAGAAGCACCGGCUAACUCCGUGCCAGCAGCCGCGGUAAUACGGAGGGUGCAAGCGUUAAUCGGAAUUACUGGGCGUAAAGCGCACGCAGGCGGUUUGUUAAGUCAGAUGUGAAAUCCCCGGGCUCAACCUGGGAACUGCAUCUGAUACUGGCAAGCUUGAGUCUCGUAGAGGGGGGUAGAAUUCCAGGUGUAGCGGUGAAAUGCGUAGAGAUCUGGAGGAAUACCGGUGGCGAAGGCGGCCCCCUGGACGAAGACUGACGCUCAGGUGCGAAAGUGUGGGGAGCAAACAGG